rnacentral:rRNA from 1 species
CAAUAGCGUAUAUUAAAGUUGUUGCAGUUAAAAAGCUCGUAGUUGGAUUUCUGGUGGGAGCGAUCGGUCUGGCGCUUAGCGCGAGUACUUGCAUCGUCUCCGGCCAUCCUUGGGGAGAGUCUGUCUGGCAUUAGGUUGUCGGGCAGAGGAUCCUCAUCGUUUACUGUGAAAAAAUUAGAGUGUUCAAAGCAGGCUUAUGCCGUUGAAUAUAUUAGCAUGGAAUAAUAAGAUAGGACUUUGGUACUAUUUUGUUGGUUUGCGUACCAAAGUAAUGAUUAAUAGGGACAGUUGGGGGUAUUCGUAUUCCGUUGUCAGAGGUGAAAUUCUUGGAUUUACGGAAGACGAACUACUGCGAAAGCAUUUACCAAGGAUGUUUNCAUUA